AUCGCCAAGCGACUAAAGCUGGAAGGGAGGGGGCGGGGUUGUGAGCAAACCUUGGUGGUGGUGGGGCGGCCUGAGAAGAUAUCAUGGCUGCUGCCACGGAGCUUAAUCGCCCGAGCAGCGGUGACAGGAACCUGGAGCGAAGAUGCAGCCCCAACCUCUCCCGAGACGUGCUCUACGAAAUCUUUCGCUCCCUACACACCCUGGUUGGACAGCUUAACCUCAGAGAUGAUGUGGUGAAAAUUACAAUCGAUUGGAACAAGCUCCAGAGCCUCUCGGCAUUCCAGCCUGCAUUGCUCUUUAGUGCACUUGAACAACACAUUUUAUAUUUACAGCCUUUUUUAGCAAAACUUCAGUCUCCGAUUAAAGAGGAGAAUACAACUGCUGUUGAAGAGAUAGGAAGAACAGAAAUGGGGAACAAAAAUGAAGUAAAUGACAAAUUUUCCAUUGGCGACCUACAAGAGGAAGAAAAGCACAAAGAAAGUGAUUUAAGAGAUGUGAAAAAGACACAGAUCCAUUUUGAUCCAGAAGUAGUUCAGAUAAAGGCUGGAAAAGCAGAAAUUGACAGACGAAUAUCUGCAUUUAUUGAAAGAAAGCAAGCUGAAAUCAAUGAAAACAACGUCAGGGAAUUUUGCAAUGUUAUUGAUUGUAAUCAAGAAAAUAGUUGUGCAAGAACUGAUGCGAUUUUUACCCCUUACCCCGGAUUUAAAAGUCACGUAAAAGUUUCUAGAGUUGUGAAUACAUACGGACCACAGACUAGACCUGAAGGAAUUCCAGGGUCAGGUCAUAAACCUAACAGCAUGCUUCGAGAUUGUGGUAAUCAGGCUGUAGAAGAACGACUACAAAAUAUUGAGGCCCACUUGCGGUUACAGACAGGUGGUCCAGUGCCAAGAGACAUUUAUCAGAGAAUUAAAAAACUUGAGGAUAAAAUCCUUGAAUUGGAAGGCAUCUCUCCUGAAUAUUUUCAGUCUGUAGCCUGUGAACAUACAUGACACAAGCCCUAUGGGAAAGAAGAUUUCAUACUCAUCACCCUUCUAUAAUAGGAUGAAUGAGCCAUCUUUAGGAACCUCACUUGGAAUACAGUCAGCUCUAAGAGUGUCCUUGCAAACAGGAGAAGUUGAGCACAUACCUUACAGAGGACAUAGUACAUUAUUCAUCACCCUCACCAUCAUGCUGGGAGUACAUGCAUGAGCUUUUCUGGAAAAAGAAGAAAAGUUCAACCACCUCAACAGAACUAUUCACUGGCUGAACUUGAUGAGAAAAUUAGUGCCCUCAAACAAGCCCUCCUCAGAAAAUCAAGAGAAGCAGAAUCCAUGGCAACCCACCACCUUCCAUGAAAAACUCCUCUCAUCCUUGUCAUUUUACUUUUUUGUAUACAUAUGUGUAACUUACACUGUUAUUAAUUCAACGGAUAUAUAUUUAUCAAUGUAGACUUCUCUGUGAAGUCAAGGUUUAUUUUCACAUGAGUCCAGCUUGCAGCAAGUAAUCUUCAAAUAUUCCAGUAAGUUUUGAAAUAAUGAAUGCAUUGAAAAUAGCAUUGUUGGAAUUUAUUCCCUUCUGUUUUAAAGGAGGUAUUUUGGAAAUUGAAAAACUUAAUUUACAAGUGCUGGUACAUCUUUUUUCUUUUGUGGACCACAGGAAGGAAGAUUUAUUUUGAUAUUGAUACUUUAAAAGGACUUUAUAUUUGUAACAUUGAUGUUAACCAGUUUAUUAGUUUAAAUCAGUACUUUGCAUAUAAUAAGCAUUCAACAAAAAUUUAUUGACUGAAAUGAAUUUUAAAUGCAUGUGUAUGAACUUGUUUUUCUUAAUCUUUAAGAUGUCAGUAUUCAUGUAAAUAAACAAUAGAUCCAGCUUUA